rnacentral:snoRNA from 1 species
AAGACUGUGCUUCAUAGGAUCAUUUCUAUAGGCUAGUUUUCAGUUCUACUUCAUCGUAAGCGGAGCUUAUCCAACCCACGAUGACGAGUCGUAGUGGCUGUUCCUGGAGCGUGAAACUGUCGGAUCUCGGCUGCGCCUCUGGCGUGUCGGUCUGUACUUGAUGAUCGUAUCCUAAGCAAAAGGGCAGACACAUUCUGAGUGGU